rnacentral:rRNA from 1 species
AGUGAACGCUGGCGGCGUGCUUAACACAUGCAAGUCGAACGAGAACGGGUUAUAGCUUGCUAUAAUUGUCAGCUAAGUGGCGCACGGGUGAGUAAUGUAUAGGUAAUAUGCCUCUUACUAAGGGAUAACAAAUGGAAACGUUUGCUAAUACCUUAUACUCCUUAUUAACAGAAGUUAAUAAGGGAAAGAUUUAUUGGUAAGAGAUUAGCCUGUGUUGUAUCAGUUAGUUGGUGGGGUAAUGGCUUACCAAGACUAUGACACAUAACUGGUUUGAGAGGAUGAUCAGUCACACUGGAACUGAGACACGGUCCAGACUCCUACGGGAGGCAGCAGUGGGGAAUAUUGCACAAUGGACGAAAGUCUGAUGCAGCAACGCCACGUGGAGGAUGACACAUUUCGGUGCGUAAACUCCUUUUAUAUGAGAAGAUAAUGACGGUAUUAUAUGAAUAAGCACCGGCUAACUCCGUGCCAGCAGCCGCCGUAA